rnacentral:lncRNA from 1 species
CCAGAUCAAUGAUGUCAUCCCAAACUUGCUGAAGAGACCAAGGAAUAAUUCCCAUCCCAUUAAACCAAUGACAAACAAUUUGGGAAUUAGUUUCAACCCAUACCUUUGAAACCCCCAAAAGAUAGCAAUAAUACAAACCCAAUUUCAAAGCCAUUGUUUCUGCCAUGGAGUUAGUGGCUACCCCAAGAGAGUGGAAAAAGCCAAAACCAAAUUUUCCUUUCCAAUCCCUAAGCACCCAACCACAGCGAGCUCUACCAGGGUUGCCACAGCUAGCACCA